UAAACAGAAGUAAAAUUACAUUUGAUUUCGGAUCAAAAAAAGGUCUAAACCCUGUUUAA
rnacentral:tRNA from 1 species